GGGGCAGCGCGGCAUGGCGGCGCGAGGCCGAGUGUCGGGGAGCAGAGUGUGAGUGGCUGCGCAAUGGAGUUGGCACUCAGGCGAGCAACACGUGACUGUGCCACAAACUUCCCGUGUGGCCAUUGCAAGGUAGGCAUGCCUUACUGUAAGCGUGCGCUGAGGCAGUGUUGGUUAAGCACAGCUCAUUGCCUGUCUCCAACAGUGCUGCUCUGCUGCUUUAUUGCUCGGUUGGCUUGUACGCCACAGCAGCAGCACGGCCGUAUGCAUACGCGAGGUACGUGAAAGUAUGAAUGAACUUAAUAUGUUAAGUAUGAUUAUGAGUGUUACUAUUGUAAAUAGACGUCGGUCGUGUGAUCGACCUGGAUGGUUUAUUCUCGCCUCUGAAGCUUUUCCCUUCUUUACUCCACCUGUCCUAUUUGCUCUCUUCCCCUCACCUGCAAGGGACCAAUGCUACCAGUUGAGGCAUCUCCUGAGCAGGUGGUAAGAUGAAGCGAGGCAGCUGCGAGGUUUCGUGUCCUCUCUAUGGAUUGGGUCGUAGACCGUGUCUUCAGAGCACCUCUGUAAGUCAGCCUGUAACACCAGUGUGCACGGAGUAACGGGACUCUUUUCCCCGUUGUAGAAAGCAGCCCCUUGAGAGCAGAGAGCAGCAGGCUGUGCCUAUGGCUGCUAAGGCAUUUCUCGCCUCCGAGAUCCCUGAGCCCACGCUGGCGAGAAGUGCUGCCGCUACGCUCUUCUUGGAGCCGUUGGUCCUGUGUGUGUGGCCAUAUCCUGCCAGUUUCCAGGUCCCAUAAGCCAGUAAGUCGUGCUCUCUGAGGUUGACAGAAGGCCGGAAUAGGCGGAGGGAAGUUGUAGCUGUGUCUACGGAAGCGGCCCCGGCUUGCUGAGCGCCACAUUUGGCUUCUGUCUCUGUCCUUCCUUCCGUGGCGUGCUGUUCUGUGGAGCAGGAAGCCUUGAGGUGCAAGCUCAUCUUAUCCUGCUGCUACUGCUGUGCCCUAUGAGCUGGCAGGCAGAGGUCCUCCCUGUGCAGGCACCGCCUUGCAGGAAAUGGCUUUAUAUUCUAGUUUGCCUGGGAUUUUGGGGAACAAGCUAGAGGUGGAGUUGCUAGUGUGCCCUGAUGUCAGGAAGGCGGUUUCCAGUACUGGCACCAAAGAGUGCGGAGUGACUUGAGCUCCACGCGGGCUGUCAGCAGUGUUAGAGAGGUUCCCUGACUGUUUCUGCCAUUCUUGAGGACGUCGGGUUUGGGACUAAGACUUGGGAGACGGUGAAGAAACCCAAGGCAAGUGCUGCUCAGCUGAGGAAGAAAGCCAAGAAGGAAAGCAAAAAGAGACAGCAAGGGCUUGGCUGAGAAGGCCCAGAGGACACCAGAAUCACCUGGAAUGCUUCCUCAGAGGUGCACCACAAGGCGGUGGACUGAAUGUGUGGUUUUUGGCACGGCCGUGCUUUCCCUGUGGACAGAAGAGGGAAGAAAAGCUGGGGAAGGGCUUUGCUGCGUUAAGCAAAGAGACUCCACUAUGCAGGUUCAUGUAUGGCAAGAGCUGGAGACGCUGUGCUCCUUCAGGGUGUGUCUCUUUGGGGCCAGGGCGUUAGUGUUUGUGAAUUGGCUAGACGGGACUGGAGAGAGAGGAGGUGACGUAGCCACAGGGUCAGGCUUCUCCUUGUGUCUGACUGGAGGCUGAAUGACUCAUUGCUAAGUGGAAAUCCUGGACACUGGGGUUUCAUUGUGGGGUGGGUAGUGGGGUAAUAAAUACAACCCAAAUCCUUUUGUAUCAAAUAAAAGCGAAAUGAAC
ensembl:lncRNA